rnacentral:rRNA from 1 species
GAUGAACGCUGGCGGCGUGCCUAAUACAUGCAAGUCGAGCGAACGGACGAGAAGCUUGCUUCUCUGAUGUUAGCGGCGGACGGGUGAGUAACACGUGUAUAACCUACCUAUAAUACUGGGAUAACUUCGUGAAACCGGAUCUAACACCGGAUAAUAUUUUGAACCGCAUGGUUCAAAAGUUAAUGACGGUCUUUCUGUCACUUAUAGAUGUAUCCGCGCUGCAUUAGCUAGUUGGUAAGGUAACGGCUUACCAAGGCAACGAUGCAUAUCCGACGUGAGAGGGGGAGCGGCGAGACAGGAACUGAGAAACGGAAAAGAGUACGACGGGAGGCAGAAGAAGGGAAGAGUAGGAAAUGGGGGAAAGCAUGACGGAGCAACGGGGCGUGAGUGAUGAAGGUGUUCGGAUCGUAAAACUCUGUUAUUAGGGAAGAAAAAAAGUGUAAGAAACUGAGAAGAAAAUGACGGUAACUAAACAGAAAGCAACGGCUAACUACGUG